GCAAGAAGACAGCUAUCUACCAGUAUGGCUUGACGAGUGGUGCUGGGUCUGCUCCUGGGAUCUGAACCUACGAACCCCAGGCCACCGAAGCACAGCAUGCCAACUCAACCACUACACCAUCAGGCUGGCCCCUGCACAAGUGUUUUUGAUGGAAGGAAAUGUAAAGGUUGGAGAGCCAGAGUCCAUGGCCGAGGAAGAACAAAGAUCUCUCUCCCGGAUGCAGCCAGCUGCCAAUGUGCCGAAGUUCGGAGUGGUUCUCUCAUUGAAGGACAACAGAUCUCUCAAAUAACGGAUGAUUUACUGACAGUCUUGCUGAGUCUCGUGCAUGGAAAGAUGGACUGGGGUCGAAAGGACUAAACUGGAAGCAGCAUCAGGUGGAGAAGGUGGCAUCACCAGACAUCACCAGCUGUCACUAAGCCUUGAAGACAUCCAGCUCUUUGUUCAACAGACACUGACGGAAAAUUCCUGUGGACAGAUGGAACGAAAGGAAAUCAAGUAUAGACAUAAACAGCACUUGUCAUUUGAAGUCUGCAUUUGUAAGGAUUGUUGUUGAGGUGAGGAGCCUGAGCUGAUGACUUCAAGUAAUUGAGGUAAUAUUUCAAGUGAUAUACACACAUUCCUACUUGAUAGAUCUUCCUCUCUAACUAGC
rnacentral:lncRNA from 1 species